rnacentral:rRNA from 1 species
ACUACGGGGGGCAGCAGUGAGGAAUAUUGGUCAAUGGACGCAAGUCUGAACCAGCCAUGCCGCGUGCAGGAAGACGGCUCUAUGAGUUGUAAACUGCUUUUGUACGAGGGUAAACUCAGAUACGCGUAUCUUUCUGAAAGUAUCGUACGAAUAAGGAUCGGCUAACUCCGUGCCAGCAGCCGCGGUAUUACGGGGGAUGCGAGCGUUAUCCGGAGUUAUUGGGUUUAGAGGGUGCGUAGGCGGACUGUUAAGUCAGCGGUAAAAGCCCGGGGCUCAACCCCGGCGAGCCGUUGAAACUGGCGGUCUGGAGAUGGCGAGAGGUAGGCGGAAUGCGCAGUGUAGCGGUGAAAUGCUUAGAUAUUGCGCAGAACUCCGAUUGCGAAGGCAGCAUACCGGCGGCGAUCUGACGCUGAGGCACGAAAGCGUGGGUAUCGAACAGGAUUAGAUACCCUGGUAGUC